AUUUCUUCUAAAUUUGAGAGGAAUGAGUAGGAUUAAUAAGAUUCAAAUGAGCGGUGAGAGUUCGAUAGGCACUACGGACUGAAUACGUUUUGUGUCUUUGCACUAGAAAAUAUUAUCACAGAAACGUAGAGCAGGAAGAGGUACCUGUAGAAUUAGAGCACAAUCUCGAGGAAUGAAGAGAUCAUUGAUUAGAUCAAUAUCCCAAUACUGUUCAUUUGGGAUCAUCAAAGACUGUACCGACGCACUCAGCAACCCAGGAAUCGGAGGAGAAGAAAUUCGAGGGUUAUCUUCAUCAGAGAGCCAAGCGUCUGCCCAAAUAUUAAUAGAUGAACCAUCUC
rnacentral:lncRNA from 1 species